rnacentral:rRNA from 1 species
UAACACGUGGAUAACCUACCUAUAAGACUGGGAUAACUUCGGGAAACCGGAGCUAAUACCGGAUAAUAUUUUGAACCGCAUGGUUCAAAAGUGAAAGACGGUCUUGCUGUCACUUAUAGAUGGAUCUGCGCUGCAUUAGCUAGUUGGUAAGGUAACGGCUUACCAAGGCAACGAUGCAUAGCCGACCUGAGAGGGUGAUCGGCCACACUGGAACUGAGACAUGGUCCAG